AAGAAAAGAAAAAGUUCUGAAGUGACGUGUUAAAAAGGAAGUCGACGGUGGUGCCGGAUCCCGUGCAAGAGAGCGGUCGUCUCGCUUCUCGGGCCGGCAAAGGAAGUGCAAGUGGCCCCUGGAGAAAUCCGCUAGAAAUCCUUCAGGAGGUAUUCGCGCCAGACUGAAGGAGACGACAUCGAUCACAGCCGCUGGUUGUUCCUCCGGGCUUGGAAACCGAAUAUAAUUCAGAUCGGGACGCAGCAAGCCGUGACAGAAACACAUCAAAAGGAAAAAUAUCCCCAAUAUAGGGGUUUUUGUUUCUUGCCUCUUCUUCCCAGGAACUGCGCACCACGGCACCGAUCCACGUGCAGAAGACCACCGUGCUCACAUUUGUUGCCUUCCCUCGGUCAGGCAAAUCGACCGUGGAAAAAAAAAAACGCCAGCGAAGCGGUUUGCACGUGUAGUGUUGGACGAGGCCUGUCAGCCGCCAUCCAGGCCGCCCACACCAAGGAAAAGCAUCGCAAGUGACAUCCCCGGAACGUGCAGUGUAGGGCGAGGCCUGCCAGCCGCCAUCCAGGCCGCCCACACCAAGGAAAAACAUCGCAAGUGAUAUCACCGUAACGUGUAGUGUUGGGCGAGGCCUGUUAGCCGCCAUCAAGGCCGCCCACAGUAAGGAUAAGACAUCGCCAGCAAUAUCGUGCAGUCUCGUAAGGGACCUGUUAGCAGAAACAAGGGGCUCCAGGACUGAGGAAGUUUGUCGUCUGCAUCAUGCCCAGAACAUGCCAUCUCGAAUUCCAAUGACCUUGCCUGUUUCCCCAUGUCGCCAAGGGAGUCGGCGAAGGGGAUGCUGAGGACAGGAGCGGCGAAACAGCUCGUUGACCUUAUCGAAAGAUGACAUCUGACACACAUGCACUUACUCGAUUCCAUGCGACGGAACUGGCCGGUCACACUCCAUUACAGAUCAUUUGCCGAAUGAAUGACUGCCCCCCUUCUUGGUUUCCUUCCUUUCAACCAAGCACGUGGCAUUUGGCAAUGGAAAAUCCAAAUCCGAACGAAACCUGCAAUGAUCGAUUAAUUUUCUGGCCGCCGCCGCCAUUCAAAUGCGUUUCGGCCUUUGGUGUAGGACAGAUCUUGGACCAGCAGAUGGAAACAACAAAAAAAAAAAUCAAAGCUCAAAGAGACAGAUCAGAGAAAAAAAUGACAACCGAAGCACAUGGCAGUGGUAAAAUUGCGCAAAAAUCGACACCAAUCGAAUGUGGUAUUAUAAUCCUACACAAAUAGAAGAACUCUAGAGAGGGAGAAAGGCUUGAAAAGUCGUCACAUUGCCGAAGCCGGACAAAGACCUGGCCUGGCUAGCAAUCGGCCACCGGUUCGAUUUUGAGUUCUUUUUUUUUCUUUCUGGGUCACUUCAUCGAGUUUAAGUUUUCUGUAAACAAUCCUAGAUGAUCGGACAAAAUUUUAUGUGUUAUUGGCUUGGAAAUGUUGGCCACACCUUUGGACGAUCUUCGGACGAUCUUCAGAAGCGAGCUAGAAUAUUUUUAACGAGUUUCGCUUUCCGAAUGUCACGCUCUGGAGCGGCAACAAGCAGACGAAACACAGCAAAAACGCAACCAAAACCGGCUUGUUACCCUAGGUCACUUGCACAAACCGAGCAGCGAAAGGUGGACGGCAACCCGACAGGGUUGCCAUGGAGCCGGCCUAUUGUCGAUAAUGAUGAUCAUCAUCAUCGCAUGGGCCCACCUUACACUUUCGUUCAUGUGUAAGUAUGUAAAUGGUGGUUGUUGGUAGCACUUCUUUGAGGGCGGCCGAAUGACGGCAUUCCAAUUAAAAGGCCCCUCACUCAGGCUUAACUUCCACCAGCCAAUUUCGGUGGCACCGGUUCUUUUACUUUUUUUUUUACCUCUGCGCGUAGGGCUCCUUCCAAUAUCUUCUUAUUUCUCCGAAGAUGGUGUAAGGUCGCCGAGCCGUGGUGGCCUAGUCGGCGGAACAGAGACACAGAUUGUGCAAUAGGCAGUUGAGGCUGGUCCGAGACUUGUCUUUUAACAAUUCUGCAUGCGUCAGCUUUUUCUGUUGUUAUUUUUAUUUUCGAUCAGCCUAUUUGGGACCACUGCACCGGAAGAAAAGAUUCAAUCAUUUGUUAAAAAAAAUCACUCUUUAAAAAAUCUUAAACAUCGUCGUUCGAGAAAAAACCUAAAUUUCAGACCUACACCAGCAUGAAGUGGGCUCAUUGAAUUUGGAUCUGGGUGCUGCUGCUAUCACACUGCCUGGUCAUUAUCUAAUUCGGAAUCCGGCGACCCAUGAAGACGAGACGAGUGCACAAAAGAUCAGACAGUCGUCAACGAAUGUUAGGCCAACUUACCGCCAAGUCUCAGUAUCACCGAUCAGAUGUUGUUCAGCGACCUUGACAGACAAAUAAACACACCUUUGAUACGGUUUUCCGAUGACUUACGAAAACUGUUUGCUGUAACGUAAGCUUCUCAGGUUGGCAAAUCAAUGAGAUUGUGGUAGGUUAAAGUUUUGGAAGGAAUUUUGGUUUUUCCUGACAACUUUGAAGGAUCUCUCGUUACAUUUUGACACAUUUAAAAGUGUUCAGCUAUUAAAGACGGAUGUGAAGACAUAUAACGAGGCUUUUAAAAAAUAA